GCCAGUCAGACUGACCAACAAACCUCACAUGAAAAUUAUGACAAACUCAUUUACAACUGAAAAAUUUAUAACAACUGUUCCUGGUAGACAUACUGACUGAAUUUCAAACUGUAAUAACCUUCAGGCAAAAUAAAAAAUGGCAUAGAAUACAGAGCCCUACAGGACAUAUAUAGGUGAUUAUCAUACAAGGAUAGUGUCAUACUGAUGGCAGAGGGAUAGAAAAAUUUUUGAUACUGAAAAACCUGUACAUGAAUUAAUGGGAGGAAACAGAAAUGAAUCAAAAUGAAAUUUCUAGGUAUAAAAACAUUUAUGUACAAUAGCAAGAAGGUUAAAUGCAGAAACCAACAAAUAUAUAAAAAACAAAAGUAUUUGGGUUCAAAACUUUUUACUAUCAAAUAUGACAAGAUAUGUAUUAUACAAAUAUGUACAAAUUUUAAAUAAAGGUACAUCAAGUACAUUUGUGUGUUUAAAAACAUCAACUCUACCACAUUGCAAAUGGUAAAUGUGAAGCAGAUCUAUUUAAUCCAAGAUGCUGAAAAUUUAAGUUACAUAUUAUGACUGUCUAUGAAUUAAAGCCUUUGUAAUUGUCAUUAUUUCAGCCACUGGAAGAAGGCAAUUAUUUCUGACUCGCCUGUGCUCACCUUCUGUUUUUCUAGCUUUUGUGAUAUAUCUGUAGAUGGGGUAACACAGGACAGGAGGACAUAAGUAAAAAUUGACUUUCUUCAUUUGUAAGAGAGCUGUGUUAGUCUAGGCUGGCAAAAAAAUUCAGUUGUCUGAUAGCACCAACUAACAAAUUGUAUUAAAUGGAAUAAGUUUUUGUAAGAUGUAGCUCAUUUUGUCACACUGGUUAUGCUUUUUAAUUACAUUUCUUAGUUGGAAAAGGUGCUACCAAACUCCUAAUUUAAAGACUUUCCACUCAAUACUAAAAACUCAACUUUCCAAAAGCAGAGAUAAUAGUGUAAAUGCAAUUAAAUGAUUCUGCUAAAUGUCCAGCUCUAAAGAUUGAUAUUUUUAUAGCUCAUAUACUGCCUGUAUAUCUGCACAACUCUUGAGUCAGUGAUUCAUAGCAAGAUUUUUAGAAGUAGUUUGCCAUUGCCUGUUUCCUCGGGCUUGAGAGAAAAAUGACUAGCCUAAGGUCACCAGCUGGCUUCUGUGUUUUCCUGGUUUCUAGCCUGAUACCUUAAUCACU